rnacentral:misc_RNA from 1 species
GAUGAAGAACGUAGCGAAAUGCGAUAAGUAAUGUGAAUUGCAGAAUUCAGUGAAUCAUCGAAUCUUUGAACGCACCUUGCACUCCUUGGUAUUCCGAGGAGUACGCCUGUUCGAGUGUUAUGAAGCUCUCAAAACGCAAUUGGCUUAAAACCUGAUUGUUGUUUUGGAUUUGAACUUUGCCGUGUUAUAACGGCUGGUUUUAAAAGUAUUAGCUGGUACUAGAACGAAUUGGUUCUACUCAACGUGAUAAUUAUCUGAUCGUUGAGGACAUUCCUUUCACGAGGAAUGGCCAUAGUAAAUUCAAUGGACUGCUUCUAAUCUGGCUUUAAUUCUUUACUGGAUUAACCACUUUUCAAAUCUGACCUCGAAUCAGGUGGGACUACCCGCUGAACUUAAGCAUAUCAAUAAGCGGAGGA